rnacentral:rRNA from 1 species
GCUUGUCUCAAAGAUUAAGCCAUGCAUGUCUAAGUGUAAAUAAGUCUAUACUGUGAAACUGCGAAUGGCUCAUUAAAUCAGUUAUCGUUUAUUUGAUGAUCUCUUACUACUUGGAUAACCGUAGUAAUUCUAGAGCUAAUACAUGCACAAAAUCCCGACUUACGAAGGGAUGUAUUUAUUAGAUAAAAGGCCGACCGGGCUCUGCCCGACUCGCGGUGAAUCAUGAUAACUUCACGAAUCGCACGGCCUCGUGCCGGCGAUGUUUCAUUCAAAUUUCUGCCCUAUCAACUUUUGAUGGUAGGAUAGAGGCCUACCAUGGUGGUAACGGGUGACGGAGGAUUAGGGUUCGAUUCCGGAGAGGGAGCCUGAGAAACGGCUACCACAUCCAAGGAAGGCAGCAGG